AUUGAACGCUGGCGGCAGGCCUAACACAUGCAAGUCGAAUGGUAACAGGAAACAGCUUGCUGUUUCGCUGACGAGUGGCGGACGGGUGAGUAAUGUCUGGGAAACUGCCUGAUGGAGGGGGAUAACUACUGGAAACGGUAGCUAAUACCGCAUAACGUCGCAAGACCAAAGAGGGGGACCUUCGGGCCUCUUGCCAUCAGAUGUGCCCAGAUGGGAUUAGCUAGUAGGUGGGGUAACGGCUCACCUAGGCGACGAUCCCUAGCUGGUCUGAGAGGAUGACCAGCCACACUGGAACUGAGACACGGUCCAGACUCCUACGGGAGGCAGCAGUGGGGAAUAUUGCACAAUGGGCGCAAGCCUGAUGCAGCCAUGCCGCGUGUAUGAAGAAGGCCUUCGGGUUGUAAAGUACUUUCAGCGGGGAGGAAGGGAGUAAAGUUAAUACCUUUGCUCAUUGACGUUACCCGCAGAAGAAGCACCGGCUAACUCCGUGCCAGCAGCCGCGGUAAUACGGAGGGUGCAAGCGUUAAUCGGAAUUACUGGGCGUAAAGCGCACGCAGGCGGUUUGUUAAGUCAGAUGUGAAAUCCCCGGGCUCAACCUGGGAACUGCAUCUGAUACUGGCAAGCUUGAGUCUCGUAGAGGGGGGUAGAAUUCCAGGUGUAGCGGUGAAAUGCGUAGAGAUCUGGAGGAAUACCGGUGGCGAAGGCGGCCCCCUGGACGAAGACUGACGCUCAGGUGCGAAAGCGUGGGGAGCAAACAGG
rnacentral:rRNA from 2 species